rnacentral:piRNA from 1 species
UCUGCAGCAUGAUUUUGCCAGCUACAGGUAG